UGGGGGAUAUUGCACAAUGGGGGAAACCCUGAUGCAGCAACGCCGCGUGAGGGAAGAAGGUUUUCGGAUUGUAAACCUCUGUCCAAAGGGAAGAAAAAAAUGACGGUACCUUUGGAGGAAGCUCCGGCUAACUACGUGCCAGCAGCCGCGGUAAUACGUAGGGAGCAAGCGUUGUCCGGAAUUACUGGGUGUAAAGGGUGCGUAGGCGGCCUAGUGGGUCAGACGUGAAAUAUAUGGGCUUAACCCAUAAACUGCGUUUGAAACUACAAGGCUUGAGUGAAGUAGAGGCAGGCGGAAUUCCCUGUGUAGCGGUGAAAUGCGUAGAGAUAGGGAGGAACACCAGUGGCGAAGGCGGCCUGCUGGGCUUUAACUGACGCUGAGGCACGAAAGCGUGGGUAGCAAACA
rnacentral:rRNA from 1 species